rnacentral:rRNA from 1 species
GACGAACGCUGGCGGCGUGCUUAACACAUGCAAGUCGAACGGUGAAGGGACCGGUUUUUGCUGGUUCUGGAUGAGGGGCGAACGGGUGAGUCACACGCGAGUAACCUGUCCCCUUCUUCUGGAUAACCGCAUGAAAGGGUGGCUAAUACGGGAUAUUCUGCGCCUGCUGCAUGGUGGGGGUGGGGACGGUAUUGUUUCGGUGGGGGGUGGGCUCGCGGCCUAUUAGCUUGGUGGUGGGGUGAUGGCCUACCAAGGCGGUGACGGGUAGCCGGCCUGAGAGGGUGGACGGUCACAGUGGGAGUGAGACACGGCCCAGACUGCGACAGGAGGCAGCAGUGGAGAGUAUUGCACAGUGGGCGCAAUCCUGAUGCAGCGGCGCGGCGUGAGGGAUGGCGGCCUGCGGGUUGUAAACCUCUUUCGCCAGUGAAGCAGGCCUGUCCCUUUUGUGGGUGGGUUGACGGUAGCUGGAUAAGAAGCGCCGGCUAACUACGUG